rnacentral:lncRNA from 1 species
AUUUCCCUGACUCCUUCAUGGGACUCAUGACAGGGGUGCUUGGUUUACUCAGCCUGUUGCUUUCAAUUCCUCGUGGAAGGUAAUGCACAAGCGAACAAGGCGAGAACUGCAGUUCAUGAACGCUGGAACCAGCCAGUUGCUUCAGUGCCAGCAGGAGAGAACUCCACUCACUCAGAUCUGCUGCGUUCCUCCCCUUGCAGAAGUGAGCACUCAGGUGGUGAUCUUAAGAACACUGUCCAAUCAUCCUCCUCCACACCAAAAUGUCUGCUUCUGAAGAAACUUGAUGGAAAACAGUGACUCCUGAACUACAUGAAUAAACUUCAGCAACUCAGAAG